CUUGCACCCCCUAUACAUUAAAAAGCAUCAAACUGAUCCUUUUAGUUAUCGAUAUAUUCCAAUAUGAUCCAGUCAUCCACUUAUCAAUAAAUAAUAUUAUCUUUUCCUCUUAAUGGAUAGAAAUAACCCUCGCUCAUGGGUAAGGCUUAGAGGAGGAAGAGGAUGAGGAUGAGGGGGCCACUGUAGAGGAGAAUGAUUUAUAGAUGGCUUGGAGGAGUAGGAGGAGUAGGAGGAGAGGAGGUGGAAGAAUGGGUGGAGGUGGAGCCACCAUGGAGAAGAAAAAAUGGGUGAGGAGAAAGGAGGGAGGAGGAAGGAGGGACAAAGAGGGAUGCAGAUAAUAGAGGAGGAGAGGAUCAAUUGAAAAGGAGGAAGGAGCGAGGAGAAGGACAA
rnacentral:lncRNA from 1 species